ACAGAACAAAGCUACCUGGAUUUAACCUGCAAUCCUCAGAGCUGACAAAUAGGAAAGAAGACGGCCACCAGUAAGACACUGUAUUGUGGGAUACCAGGUUUGAAAGCCAGGAGAAAGAAGGGCUCAUUUCUCAGGUAAGCUGUGCAGAGAAUGUCAUGCUCCCAAAACACCAAGUCUCUGCAGAGGACUAUGAAGUCAAAAGACACCUGAUACAGAGGUGCUGAAGUGGCAGUACUUUUAAAUCUGCUCUCACUAUGGGAACUGAUGACCUUUCUGGGACUAGAAGGAUAUCAGAAGAACCACAAGAAUUGGUGCACUGAUCUAUUUGAACACAUCUGAAAUUAAAUGGCAACAUUAACAAUAAAAUACUGCUGGGUGAGAAGCGCACAUCCUCUGCUUUAGCAAAAAA